AUUGAACGCUGGCGGCAGGCCUAACACAUGCAAGUCGAGCGGAUGAAGGGAGCUUGCUCCUGGAUUCAGCGGCGGACGGGUGAGUAAUGCCUAGGAAUCUGCCUGGUAGUGGGGGAUAACGUCCGGAAACGGGCGCUAAUACCGCAUACGUCCUGAGGGAGAAAGUGGGGGAUCUUCGGACCUCACGCUAUCAGAUGAGCCUAGGUCGGAUUAGCUAGUUGGUGGGGUAAGGGCCUACCAAGGCGACGAUCCGUAACUGGUCUGAGAGGAUGAUCAGUCAGACUGGAACUGAGACACGGUCCAGACUCCUACGGGAGGCAGCAGUGGGGAAUAUUGGACAAUGGGCGAAAGCCUGAUCCAGCCAUGCCGCGUGUGUGAAGAAGGUCUUCGGAUUGUAAAGCACUUUAAGUUGGGAGGAAGGGCAGUAAGUUAAUACCUUGCUGUUUUGACGUUACCAACAGAAUAAGCACCGGCUAACUUCGUG
rnacentral:rRNA from 1 species